rnacentral:rRNA from 1 species
UACGUAGGUGGCAAGCGUUGUCCGGAUUUACUGGGUUUAAAGGGUGCGUAGGUGGAUUGGUGAGUCAGUGGUGAAAUACUUUCGCUUAACGAAGGAACUGCCAUUGAUACUACCAGUCUUGAAUACAGUGGAGGUGGGCGGAAUGCGUCAUGUAGCGGUGAAAUGCUUAGAUAUGACGCAGAACACCAAUUGCGAAGGCAGCUUGCUACACUGUUAUUGACACUGAGGCACGAAAGCGUGGGGAUCAAACAGG